CGGGGACUGCUGCUCCUCACCACUUCCCUCCUGCCAUGGUUCCAGACAGCAUGGCGGUCCCCUCUCCAGGUGCCGGUGCUCUUAUACCUCCAACCUCCAGAACCAGGAGUGCAGUGAAUGUGUGUUUAUAACUUACUCAGCGUUCUGAUCGAGCAGCAGCAGCAGAUCAUCCUGAAUGCCAUUGUAUACUUUAAAGAAAAAACUCACAUACUUGGCGUGGCAUCUUUCUUCUAUGGCUU
rnacentral:lncRNA from 1 species